rnacentral:tRNA from 1 species
GCACCCGUGGCGAAAUUGGUAGACGCGCCAGACUUAGGAUCUGGUGAUUUCGGUCGUGUAGGUUCGAGUCCUAUCGGGUGCA